rnacentral:rRNA from 1 species
UACGACUACAUAUCAGGCAUAUCAAUAAGCGGAGGAAAAGAAACUAACAAGGAUUCCCUUAGUAACGGCGAGUGAAGCGGGAAGAGCUCAAAUUUGAAAUCUUAAAGGGUUUCCCUUUACGAAUUGUAGUUUAAAGAAGUGUUUUCUGUUGGAGUUUCGGUAAAAGUUCUUUGGAAUAGGACAUCAUAGAGGGUGAGAAUCCCGUAUUUGACCGUUACUUUCCAGCUGUGUGAUACACUUUCAAAGAGUCGGAUUGUUUGGGAAUGCAGUCCAAGAUGGGUGGUAAAUUUCAUCUAAAGCUAAAUAUUGGCGAGAGACCGAUAGCGAACAAGUACCGUGAGGGAAAGAUGAAAAGAACUUUGAAAAGAGAGUUAAACAGUACGUGAAAUUGUCAAAAGGGAAGCGUUUGACACCAGUGUUGUUUUUCCGAAAAAUCAAUUACGAAUGGCUUGAUUUUGUGUUGUAUUGACCUUAUCAGCUUUCUGCACUUUUUUCGAGUCUUUCUUAAUGCACUUUUCGGUUAACAAGUCUACAUCAAUUUCUUUUGUUGUAAAAGAGUAUUCGGAAGGUGGCUUUCUUUUCGGAGAAAGUGUUUAUAGCCCUAUACUUCUACAAUCGGAGAGAUUGAGGUCUGCAGCGUAGAUCCUUUGAGGUUAGAUACACUUGUGCUAAGUUGUAGCUUUUCAUAGACAACUUGUUGACUAUGUUUAGUCAUGCGGCUUACUCGCUUAGUGCUAUUUUACCUACGCUUAGGAUGUUGAGUAGCGACAUACGCAC